AGGGUCUGCUAUAUGAAAAAAGCUUUAACUAAAUCCUGAAUCCUCUUCUGCAUCACAUCACAGCUUUUGCACAAGGGCUGCAAAAGACAUCUGCUGACUGAAGCCAUCAGUCUGGUGGGCUGAAACACUUUUGGUUGCAAAGAAGAGAUUAAACUUGGACUCCAUUAAGUGACUGUAGUUGGAAGAUUCAAACAAUUUCAGAGGAUGUAACUAAACCACAUGUGGUUUACCAUUGAUCUUUACCAUAAAUCAGAAGAAUGAUGAAAACUGUGGAAAAAGAAAUAUUUUGGAACAGGCUGAAACACAGACACUGGGAAAUGAGGAAAAGGUGGAGCGUUCUCCCCUACUCAAAGCUGCAUCAGGUUUUUGAUGAUAAUUCAUCUACCACUGAUCAAUUUUUUGAAAAAAAUUGUCCAUCAAAGACCAAGCAUGUUUUUUUUUAAACAUAAGAUGUAUCCAAUUCUUAGGAAUACAGUGCACAAAAAAAUCUUCAGUACAAUAUAACUUCUCCAUAAAUAAUUUUACUGUAUGAAAUCAGAGCUUCUUAUUAUAUUUGGUCCUAUUCGUUUUGAUGUGCUGUGAUUUUCCUGCCGCAUGCUGUAGGUCAUGCUGUGGGAUUAGUAAUACAGCCAUUCUGCUACUGACUAGUAACUGACAGAAGCUGUUUUCAUAACCUUUCGUGAAGAUUGUGACAUCUAUAUUUUUAUUUCUGUUUUCCAGCUUAUCUUGACUUUUCAAAAUACUUGCAAGCUCCUUAUCAGUAGAGGUUCAAAACUUGUAGUAAGGAAUAAGUUCAUUUUUUUAGCUAGCAUGCUAUCAGUUCAGGAAAAGUCACUUAAAAACAUGAGCAAAAAAGUCUUAAUAUAUUUUAAUUGUAACCUUGAAAGAAAAAGGAACAUCAUCUGAAAUGAUCAAGACUAAUUAUUCAGGACUGUAGAGAUCAUUAGCAAAACUUCAGAGACAAGUUAGAUGAACUAGAUAAGCCUGACUGCUGGAUGGACUUCAGAAGAUCAUUGAGGGCAAGGUGCUUUGGCAGGCUGACCUUCAUCUGAAACACACAUGUACAUGUGCACUCACCAAACUGUGAAAUGUUUUGUACAGCAAUAACAUCCCAGUCUAUUUUGCUGUUCCUAAAUCAGAUCAUUGGACUUCACAGAGGAAAGUUUUCUUUAUGCUUUAACAAAACAAAUAAACAAAAAGUGUAGAUUAUUUUGUCUUGAUGU
rnacentral:lncRNA from 1 species